CCUUCGAUGUCGGCUCUUCCUAUCAUUGUGAAGCUGAAUUCACCAAGCGUUGGAUUGUUCAACCACUAAUAGGGAACGUGAGCUGGGUUAACUUUAGACCGUCGUGAGACAGGUU
rnacentral:ncRNA from 1 species